UCUGGAGACAGGUGCUGCAUGGCUGUCGUCAGCUCGUGUCGUGAGAUGUGGGUUAAGUCCCGCAACGAGCGCAACCCUUGCCUUUAGUUGCCAGCAGUUCGGCUGGGCACUCUAAAGGGACUGCCGGUGUUAAACCGGAGGAAGGUGGGGAUGACGUCAAGUCCUCAUGGCCUUUAUGACCAGGGCUACACACGUACUACAAUGGCCGAUACAAAGGGCAGCGACACUGCGAGGUGAAGCCAAUCCCGUAAAAUCGGUCUCAGUCCGGAUUGGAGUCUGCAACUCGACUCCAUGAAGUUGGAAUCGCUAGUAAUCGUGGAUCAGCAUGCCACGGUGAAUACGUUCCCGGGCCUU
rnacentral:rRNA from 1 species